UACGUAGGGUGCAAGCGUUGUCCGGAAUUAUUGGGCGUAAAGAGCUCGUAGGCGGCUUGUCACGUCGACUGUGAAAACCUGGGGCUCAACCCCGGGCCUGCAGCCGAUACGGGCAAGCUAGAAUUCGGUAGGGGAGACUGGAAUUCCUGGUGUAGCGGUGAAAUGCGCAGAUAUCAGGAGGAACACCGGUGGCGAAGGCGGGUCUCUGGGCCGAUAUUGACGCUGAGGAGCGAAAGCGUGGGGGAGCAAACAGG
rnacentral:rRNA from 1 species